GGGUUGUUGCCAGCCUUCAGCCUUACUCCAUGUUACAUAUAUAUAAAUAUAUACAAAAUAAAUAACUACUAAUGUAACCGCUGACUAAAUAGAAGAUCAAUAGCGAUCUACUUAACGGCAAACGAACUAUAGCAAUAAUAUGAAAUAUUUAAACCAGCAAUAAUAAAUCAUAAAACUAAAUGAAACUAAAUAUCCAACAUCAUACAAAUAAAACAAAAACUGCAUAAUAUGAAAACUCAUAUGAUAUAACAAACUCCAGAUUAAAUUUGAAUAACAAAACAAAUUAAUUUACUUAAAUACUCAUCUUAUGUAUAUUUUAUUUGACAAGCAAAUGUAACAUUUUUCCUUUAAAAGCGUUUUUAAUAUGAUUUCUCCGCAUUAUUUUUCUUCUUGUUUGCCAACAUCUUUUUAACCAAAAACCGAACCAAUGAUAUCCAGAAGAUCCUUUAAAAACCAAACCACCUAGCAAAAAGGACUACACCAAGGACCUUUUUCUCUCUGGCAAAUUGAGGUAGUAGGUUGUAUAGUAGUAAUUACACAUCAUACUAUACAAUGUGCUAGCUUUCUUUGCUUGACUACAAGCCGCAUUUGAUUAAAGAACCCCAAUCGAACUGCACCACUUACUAAACCCAAUCCCCAGCCAUACAAAAGUUGCUGGUGCAACAAAUUUUGAUUGUGGGCAACAAAGAAAGUGUUCCGAGCCAGACUAUUGUUAAAUUUCAUUACGAAUGCCUAAUGCCUAUGUAAAUGCAACCGGGCAUAUGUAAAUAUUGGCAUUGGUGACAUGUGCAAAUGUUUGUAUGGCUGAUUCCCUGAGACCCUAACUUGUGACUUUUAAUACCAGUUUCACAAGUUUUGAUCUCCGGUAUUGGACGCAAACUUGCUGAUGUUAGUAAAAAAAUAAGGCAAAGACGAAUUCUCUUGCGAGGCACAAGUAGCGGAAGUUCAGAGAAGUUCUCCAGAAGAAAUAUGCCGUGCUGCUGGCUAUGAUUGAUUGGAUAUUGGAUUGGAUUUACUGACCCCUUCAUUAGAUGGUUUCUCAAACAAAAGAUAUCUAAGAAUGUUUGUGCUAAAAAUAGAUCUACAAGAGAGGCCAGAAGUAUUUUGAACUUACUUUAGGUGCACUUUGACUGCAAUGGAAAGACUAGCUGCAGUUCGUCUGCAAAAAAUGGCUAACAAAUUCUCGAAACUGACGAUCAGAUUUAACUAUGCAAAAGUGAAGUUAAAAUAUUGUUGGCCCUUAUUGUGAUUAGUUUUUAAAAUGAAAGAAGUGAUCGAGCUUUAAAAAUUUAACAAAAGAUUGCUUUACUUAAAUGUUAAAAGCCCUUACAAUAAAGCCCAUUUCCAUAAUAAUUAUUUUAGUUAUUUCCUUUUAAAAAACAUUUAUUGUUAGGCCAAUGAUUUUGUAUAUCAAAACUAUCACUGAAACCACAUAUUAAACUAUACAUGAUUUAAAUGUAUUUAAACUACAAGCUACUUCUAAGUUCUAGAGAUACAAUGUGAGAGAGAUUUGAAUAAAUCGAUAAAAGUAUA